rnacentral:rRNA from 1 species
CCUCCAAGUUCGGUCGACUCUAAAGUCGGUGCAAAACCACCUAAAGAACGUCGUUGAAAUCUCUUAGAACACAGAUACGACCUACACCUUUGUGUCCGAAAACACUCCUAUAAACUCCAAACAUAGUCUACCGAUAUUGUAGAUAAAAACGUGUAGUGUUGACCUACGUUUAGAGACCCAUAGAUAAAGAAACAAAUUGACAAAUCAGUUGGAAAACCCUAAAGGUUAAUUUGUUAACUAUACGUGUAGAUCUACGUUAAGACUUUUCUUGUACACAGACUUCACUAUCUAGUUAACUAUACAUGUUUCAAGGUUGACUCUAUACUUUAUACGUGUACUUGUCUUGACCUGUUCGUGUUUAACGUAUGUAGUAAUGAGUUUAUUAGACCUGUUCGUGUUCGUAACUUAGGACAGGGUAUAGGUUACUUUACAAAAGUACCUCUAUUAGAAGAGGCUAAGGAGAAAAUACAUAUGUGAAACACGCAUCUGUAAUCUAAUGUCAACAUCGCUGUUUUUACAUAUGGUCAUCACCUCUAUCUUAAUCACGAUGAAGAAACCGACUUAGUGUUUCCGUUGUGAGAAAAAACACUAUUCACCCUCAUAUGAAAGAAUCAACGACUAGUGACUUACUAAGAAUAAACUGUGUUAUAACCCCACUUAUGCAAACACCCAUGUUAUUUAUAAUCAUAUGACAAGACCCAUGUUUUGGUCCUUGUGCUUACUUCACUUACAAACUUAUAAUUUUUGGUAGCACUUUAUGUAAGUCGAGACUUAUCGUUUCGCUUCUUCCAGACAUUAUCGUUUUCCCGGUAUAUAGUACUUCAACUAGGAUUAAUGGAACACUAUGUCAGUCGACACACAGACGAAGCAAUCAAUCCGGUAACUAGAGCCGUCGCCGUUAAAAAAAAGGGUAGUGUACCGAGUGGUUGAACUAGAAGACGCCCUUGGAAUACAUUCUUGUCCGGACCGUUUUCUUCAUGCCUAGUAAACUAAGACUCUAUUUUCCUCUUCUUCUUCCACGGCUUCCCUUACUCGUUGUUCAGACUUACCUGCCCAAUUAUGAGAACGACGUCUUUCUAACAUGUGGGAACGAUCACUAACACGGUUAGAGUUAAGUCUGUGUAAUGAAAAACUACAUACGACACCCUGACCUUGUUAAACGGCAAAACCCUUCUUUGAAGAAAAGACUACGUUGAUUACCCCUUUAUGUUUUUUGUGUACUACAACUAAUGAAACUCGGAAACUCAAUCUUCC